rnacentral:rRNA from 1 species
UCGAACGAAGCGAUUUAGCGGAAGUUUUCGGAUGGAAGCUAGAUUGACUGAGUGGCGGACGGGUGAGUAACGCGUGGGUAACCUGCCUCACACUGGGGGACAACAGUUAGAAAUGACUGCUAAUACCGCAUAAGCGCACAGGACCGCAUGGUCCGGUGUGAAAAACUCCGGUGGUGUGAGAUGGACCCGCGUUUGAUUAGCUAGUUGGUGGGGUAACGGCCUACCAAGGCGACGAUCAAUAGCCGACCUGAGAGGGUGACCGGCCACAUUGGGACUGAGACACGGCCCAAACUCCUACGGGAGGCAGCAGUGGGGAAUAUUGCACAAUGGGGGAAACCCUGAUGCAGCGACGCCGCGUGAGUGAAGAAGUAUUUCGGUAUGUAAAGCUCUAUCAGCAGGGAAGAAAAUGACGGUACCUGACUAAGAAGCCCCGGCUAACUACGUGCCAGCAGCCGCGGUAAUACGUAGGGGGCAAGCGUUAUCCGGAUUUACUGGGUGUAAAGGGAGCGUAGACG